ACGCGGUAUAGAAGUUGCGAGAAUGGGCAGGUGUAGACAUGUAAAAACCUUGACAUUCAACUAUGACAUUUUCGAUUUGAAAACUGGUAUCUGUUAAUGUUUGCCAUACAUUCCGCGAGGCUGCCGUAUUGGAAGGAUGACACCUAUUCAUUCUUGUAUAUGUAUAUAAAUGGGCAGAUCCAUACUUGUCGGCAAAAUCGUGCGCACCUGGGUCAGCGAAUUGGCUGCCAAUUUUUUCUUCGAAAGUAAGUUAAAUCAUGAAAAAUAUGUGAUCCUCCAAAUUUCAGGGUUUGGUGAAAUUUCCAGGAUGGUUCGGGGAUAGAAUGAAGUAUAGUUUUCUCUGAGAAUUUCCACUAAUUUCAAAGUGAUGAAGAAAAAGUUUCAGCUCUCCAAAAAUAUAGCGAUAUUUUUAAAUUGAUCGAAUUUCGGAAGCAUGUAUCAAAAG